AUGAACCCAUUUCCAUCAUCGUACUCCUUCGCAUUUUCCUCCGUCGAAGAAGCAGACACUGAACAUCGUCAUCGCAAGUGGAAACUUCGCAUCGAGCCUUCCUUGAACGCAAUUUGUCCUCCACCUCACCGGCAUCAGUCCCGCGACCUUAAUGCUCCUCACCUUCCUGAUUCAACAUCGGCGCUUCUCGCCACUCAGUAUUCUCAUCCUCGGCCGACCGUGUUUACUUGCAAUGCCAUCAUAGCAGCGACGUACCACGCCAAGAGGCUGCGUCGAUGUGGCUCUUGA